CUUGGUCACAUAGAGUAGCCAUAGGUGAAAGACGACCAUAGCAAAAGGAGAGGUACUUCCCUGAGGGUCAAACCUCUAAAACUGCUUUUCGAUAUGUCGACACGGACGCUUCUUGCAUGGCGCGGGAUGCAUCUUACCGCGUUUCAUGUGCCGGCAUAAAGCAGAUUAGACGAUGCCCUACAAUUCAUCUGUACGAGGAGCGAAUACUUUUAUGACAAGUC
ncrna:unclassified sequences RT-2 RNA